rnacentral:RNase_P_RNA from 1 species
GUGGGCGGAAGCUCAUUGUAGAGGUCACAUACGGAGUGCUAGUCACUCAACCAAUCAUCUCGGGGAAGGUCUGAGACAAGAGCCAAUAGUUGUCCUUGCGGGACAUCACCUGACUCGGGUGAGCGAGUGAACAGACAAAAUGGGUCAAGUGUGCAGUUCUCGCAGGAGAAACCAGAUGGUGCUAUUUCCCAGCGCCGCUGGCGGAUGUGACGCACACUGACUUGGAAUCGCUCGCGGCUGGCGGAUGAGUUCGAUGUAUGAGGUGGAGUACGUCUCCAGAACCCAAUUCAGACUACUCUCCCCCCAC